GUAGUAUUCCCUCCUCUCCCAGAAUUCUUGUCUUAGGUUUGUCUAGAAAUGGAUAUAUCUAAAUACUAAAACGUGACUAGAAACAUUCAUAUCUAGACAAAUGUAAGACAAGAAUUUUGGGACGAAGGGAGUAGUUU
rfam:Hordeum vulgare subsp. vulgare, WGS project CAJW01000000 data, contig: morex_contig_1614562